AUGAACGCUGGCGGCGUAGCCUAAUACAUGCAAGUCGAACGCACAGCGAAGUGCUUGCAUCUUUCAAGUGAGUGGCGAACGGGUGAGUAACACGUGGAUAACCUACUCAAGUUGGGGAUAACAUUUGGAAACAGAUGCUAAUACCGAAUAAAACUUCGUAUCGCAUGAUACAAGGUUAAAAGGCGCUACGGCGUCACCUAGAGAUGGAUCCGCGGUGCAUUAGUUAGUUGGUGGGGUAAAAGGCCUACCAAGACAAUGAUGCAUAGCCGAGUUGAGAGACUGAUCGGCCACAUUGGGACUGAGACACGGCCCAAACUCCUACGGGAGGCUGCAGUAGGGAAUCUUCCACAAUGGGCGAAAGCCUGAUGGAGCAACGCCGCGUGUGUGAUGAAGGCUUUCGGGUCGUAAAGCACUGUUGUAUGGGAAGAACAGCUAGAGUAGGGAAUGACUUUAGUUUGACGGUACCAUACCAGAAAGGGACGGCUAAAUACGUG
rnacentral:rRNA from 1 species